CUCCCGUCGCGCGCCGCUCUGCGCCCUCCGCUGUCGCUCCCCGACCGUCGCCCGUCGCUCCCCGACCGUGGCCGCGUGGCUCGACCCCCUCUACCUGUGGCCACCUGUCGCCCGUCGUCCGCCGCGCUUCGACCGUGGCUACCCUCACAGGAACCAUCCCUUGGAAUCGAUUUAAAAGAAGAAUUCCAGCGUCGAAAAUCAAAUGUGUGUAAUGGGUAGUGCUCUGAACCAUAAUGUGUUGUUGCUAGCUUUUGUUGAUGCUAUCUUGUUCUCAACCAUGUGUAUAGUUGAUAUUGCUGACAUGUUGUCAAAAUGACUUGAAAUGGUGUCAAAAUGAUGCUGCAGUGCUGUCAAGUUAUGAUGAAUGCUAUUAAGUUGUGUUGAAAUGCUGUCAAAGUGA